rnacentral:lncRNA from 1 species
GAAGAAGGGAUAUCAGAUUAUCUAUAAUCAUUACCUGCAGGGAGAUUUCUCUCUGAACAUCACUGAUGCUGAUUUCAGUAAGAGAGGAUAUUACACAUGUGACUGUGGUAAUAAGGAUAUCUGUGAUGUGCGUCUUCAGAUCGAGAGUAAGUGUUCAGCUGUUAUUUCAGUAAUAAAAUCUGGGUAAAAAUGAUUUGUAGGAAAGUUAAGGUUAAAAUGUGCUUGUGUUUCUCCUCAGCUUUGAACUCCACAGUUCUUAUAAAACCUGGAGAUCCUCUGUUUCUGGAAAUGGACGUGACGGACCCAGUUAAGGUGUAUUAUAAUAAUAGUGAUGGUGUUGGUCUGUCACGUACUCCGGUCUGUACAGUGAAUGAGCUGCGGUGUAAUAAUAAUUACUCUCAGAGAGUGGUCUCUGCUGUACAGCUGAAGGAAAUUAAGACGUCUGACAGCGGAGUUUACACCAUCCGCGACUCCAGCAACGAACACGCGAUCCAUGUCUACACAGUGUCCGUCCAAGACAACCCACAGCCACACCCACACACAGACCCGGAUAAAGGAGCGGCGGUGUCGGGGUGGGCGUGGCUGUCAGUGGGCGUGAAUGGGCUGCUGGUUCUGGUUCUGAUUGGGUUGGUGGUGAUGAUGUCUGUGAGGAGGAGUAACACAACGGAGUGUUUCCUGAUGAACAAAUUACCAGCACGUGGAGAAGAAGAGAUCCUGUAUCAUGCUGCAUCUCCAUCAGCAGCCGGAGUCUGAGAGAGAGAGUACAGUUGGUGAUGCUCUCUCUGGGACAAUGCUCGUCCUGCUGCCGCUGCUGCCACUUAGUGGGUGAAACAGAUAUGAACUCACACAGGGGGUCAUUAGAAAAGUGCCUUCAGUGGCUAAAAACCUGCUUCAGGGUAAGUAGGACACCAUCAGCAACCACCAGCAUUACAUUACCACUCUUAAACACUACUUACUUAAAUUACUUACAGUUCAUACUAAAGUAUAACAA